CUUUUCCCGGAAUUAUUGGGCGUAAGGGCUCGCAGGCGGUUUCUUAAGUCUGAUGUGAAAGCCCCCGGCUCAACCGGGGAGGGUCAUUGGAAACUGGGGAACUUGAGUGCAGAAGAGGAGAGUGGAAUUCCACGUGUAGCGGUGAAAUGCGUAGAGAUGUGGAGGAACACCAGUGGCGAAGGCGACUCUCUGGUCUGUAACUGACGCUGAGGAGCGAAAGCGUGGGGAGCGAACAGGAUUAGAUACCCUGGUAGUCCACGCCGUAAACGAUGAGUGCUAAGUGUUAGGGGGUUUCCGCCCCUUAGUGCUGCAGCUAACGCAUUAAGCACUCCGCCUGGGGAGUACGGUCGCAAGACUGAAACUCAAAGGAAUUGACGGGGGCCCGCACAAGCGGUGGAGCAUGUGGUUUAAUUCGAAGCAACGCGAAGAACCUUACCAGGUCUUGACAUCCUCUGACAAUCCUAGAGAUAGGACGUCCCCUUCGGGGGCAGAGUGACAGGUGGUGCAUGGUUGUCGUCAGCUCGUGUCGUGAGAUGUUGGGUUAAGUCCCGCAACGAGCGCAACCCUUGAUCUUAGUUGCCAGCAUUCAGUUGGGCACUCUAAGGUGACUGCCGGUGACAAACCGGAGGAAGGUGGGGAUGACGUCAAAUCAUCAUGCCCCUUAUGACCUGGGCUACACACGUGCUACAAUGGACAGAACAAAGGGCAGCGAAACACGCGAGGUUAAGCCAAUCCCACAAAUCUGUUCUCAGUUCGGAUCGCAGUCUGCAACUCGACUGCGUGAAGCUGGAAUCGCUAGUAAUCGCGGAUCAGCAUGCCGCGGUGAAUACGUUCCCGGGCCCUUGUACACACCGCCCGUCACACCACGAGAGUUUGUAACACCCGAAGUCGUGAGGUAACCUUUUAGAGCCCAGCCGCCGAAAGGUGGGACAGAUGAUUGGGGGUGAAGUCGUAACAAGGUUAACCGAUA
rnacentral:rRNA from 1 species